rnacentral:rRNA from 1 species
GACGAACGCUGGCGGUGUGCUUCACACAUGCAAGUCGAACGAGGUAGCAAUACCUAGUGGCGGACGGGUGAGUAACGCGUGGGAAUCUGCCUUUAGAUGGGGGAUAACGGGUCGAAAGACUCUCUAAUACCGCAUAUGACGAAAGUUGAAAGGAGUAAUCCGUCUAAAGAUGAGCCCGCGUCCGAAUUAGCUAGUUGGUAGAGUAAAAGCCUACCAAGGCGACGAUCGGUAGCUGGUCUGAGAGGAUGAUCAGCCACAAUGGGAACUAGAGACACGGCCCAUACUCCUACGGGAGGCAGCAGUGGGAA